UUUAAAAAUGGCGGGUUUGUUCAGAACACCCCUGUCCGUCGCUUUCACGUCACCUUUUGGUAUAGCCUCAGCUCACUUGGAACCUCGACGGAGGUGAUACUAA